rnacentral:snRNA from 1 species
UAAAAUAAAACAUUAAAAGGAAAGAUACAGAGGAUAUUAGCAUGGCCUCUGUGCAAGGAUGACAUGCAAAUUCAUGAAGCAUUCCAUAUUUUU